GCACGGAGUUAGCCGAUCCUUAUUCUCACAGUACCGUCAAGACGCUACACGUAGCGUUGUUUCUUCCUGUGCAAAAGCAGUUUACAAUCCAUAGGACCGUCAUCCUGCACGCGGCAUGGCUGGAUCAGGCUUGCGCCCAUUGUCCAAUAUUCCUCA
rnacentral:rRNA from 1 species